CUUCACUAAUUUUCGAUAUCACCAAUUUCAAUUCCCCUUCCCACACUAAUGAUUUCACCCUCACAUUCACCAAUUCCUCCACCAGAUUUCCACCAACUGCACUCGGAUUCCAGUCGCCACCGCCGCCUUCACCGCGCCGGCCACCUCCCUUCCCCCGCAAGCCCUCCGAUCUGCAUCGCCGCCUCUUUCUUUCUUCAAUCGGCGGCUCCACCCCCCACCGCUCUCUCCGCCGCUCCCGCAGCCUCAGCCGCUUCUCCCGCCCCAUUGCGCCAGAGCCGGAGGCCGAGAUGGACUGCAUCAAAAACGUGCCCAGGGGAAAAUUCGUCAACACCACGAGGGGCUCGACCUCGCUGGCACCAACCGCGAAUCGCCGAGCCCCUAGAUCCCCAAAGUCUCACCGCCUCUUUGUGAUUUUCGGCGACCACGGCAGCCAUGUCCGCCGAUCUGCCACCUCCCUUCCCCCAUAUGAUUUUUGGUUUAGAGGAUUAAGGGAUUGCUUACUUCCCUGUUUUGGCGGGUGGCGGCUGGAAAUUUUUUAGACAUUAUCGUAGACAAACAGGAAGAAAUUAUCAUUAUAUGACCAAGGAUUUUUUGUUUCCCAGUUCUCUAUCACAAUCUCUGUUUGCAUGGCUGAAGUAAGUGUUGAUUCUCUGGUUAGUCCCGAAAAAGAUAAAUUGAACGAUGGGAAAAUAAAUGAUAAAAUGAAGGUUCUGCUGGGAAUCAGGAUUCUCUGAGUAAUGGGCUAUGAAAAUUUUAUUGCGAGAAACAACUUUUUGGAAGAGGGAUUUGAGUUCUGUUUCGAAGUCAUUAAAAUCCAGAUGGUGUUUGUUCAGGAUUCAAGAUUUGUUGAAGGAUGGUGAUGAGGGGUUGAAGAUUGUAGGCCAUUUUUCUGUUCACUCACAAAGGAUAGGAAAAUUUGUAGCAACAAUGAUCCUAUCUGUAUAGCUACGUAGUUGUAGUAUUGACUUUGAGCAAAUUAAACAAAACUGUUAUUAUAAAAUAUUGAUUAGGUUGUAGUUUGAACUAUAUGCCUUGAAUCCGUCCUAGAUUCAAAUUAAAUAACACUAAAUUAUUUAUCUAAA